rnacentral:rRNA from 1 species
GACGAACGCUGGCGGCGUGCUUAACACAUGCAAGUCGAACGGUGAAGCGCCUUCCUUUUUGGUGGGUGUGGAUGAGUGGCGAACGGGUGAGUAACACGUGAGUAACCUGCCCCCUUCUUCUGGAUAACCGCAUGAAAGUGUGGCUAAUACGGGAUAUUCUGGGUCUGUCGCAUGAUGGGUCUGGGAAAGGUAUUGUUUCGGUGGGGGAUGGGCUCGCGGCCUAUCAGCUUGUUGGUGGGGUGAUGGCCUACCAAGGCGGUGACGGGUAGCCGGCCUGAGAGGGUGGACGGUCACACUGGGACUGAGACACGGCCCAGACUCCUACGGGAGGCAGCAGUGGGGAAUAUUGCACAAUGGGCGCAAGCCUGAUGCAGCGACGCCGCGUGAGGGAUGGAGGCCUUCGGGUUGUGAACCUCUUUCGCCAGUGAAGCAGGCCUGCCUCGUUUGUGGGUGGGUUGACGGUAGCUGGAGAAGAAGCGCCGGCUAACUACGUG